CUGGUAUAGACUGGUAGAGGAUCUCCUGAGGGUGGAGUUGAUCAGGAGUGUGAUGCAGGGCAGGUGGUCCUAAGGGUAUUUAGGUAGCUCAUCGCUUCUGAGCAUUCCUUUCUCUUAUUAAUUCUGAACUCAGGACAGUUUGGAGUAGGGAGAGAGGACAACAAAGAAGUAGGAGGCUGGUAUUCCAUGGACUGCUAGGGCUUUGUGCUGCCAUAUCCUGGAGCUCUGCCCUGACAUGGCUCAGUAGAUACUUAGUUAUCAAGAAGAGGUCAAAUUGUGUUGGACAGGAGAUCGUUCAUUAAAUAGUGGAAGACACACAGUAGUUUAUGUUCAAGGACAUGCAAGCAAAGUAGUAUUCACUUCCAUCAAGAUGUGCUCAAGUGCUAGGCUCCAGAGCUUGCUAACAUGACCUUAUUUGGAGAUGGUGAGUCUUAACUGAUGUAAUCAAUCUAUUAUGAAGUCAUACUGGGCUAGUAUGGACCAUGACCUAAAUGACUGACAUUCUUGUGAUGGUGAUGGCUCUGUGAAAAUGGAGAUUGGAGUGGUUGUCUACAAACCAGAAAAUGUCAGGCCUUUCUAGAAAUCCUUCAAAGCCAGGAGAGAUGAGGGGAAAAUUUUCCUCACCCCUGAGCUGAGAGAGAGAGAGAGAGAGAGAGAGAGAGAGAGAGAGAGAGAGAGAGCAUUGUUAAUGUCUUGAAUUUGCAGUUCUUUGUAUACUUCUGAAGUUCAAACUCUGCUGCCUACACUCCACCUUUUCUUGCUACCCAACACAGCCAGAUAUCAUCUCGUUAGAGUUUUUCCCAUUGCUGUUUAAUAUUCAGAAGACUCACAAUUGCAUAUCCAAUGUAAGGGUAGAGUUAUUGACUGCCGAGAAAGGAGGUAUUGUUGAAGCCGUCUUUUAUAUCUUUGGAGAAGUAUCAUCUUUACGAACCUGUGACUAGCCCGUGUGUGGUGACGCACUUAUAAUCCCAGUACAGGGGAGUUAGAAGCAGCUGGAACUCAGGAGAUUAAGAAAACAACAGCAUAGCCUACUUGGCAAGUUUCAACCAAAUGAGAAGCUCUGUUUUAAAAUUAAAGAUGCAAAGAUGCCCCUGAGAAACAACAUUCAAGUUGUCCUAUGUCUCUCUCUCUCUCUCUCUCUCUCUCUCUCUCUCUCUCUCUCUCACACACACACACACACACAUUAGCACAUAUGUAUGCAAGCGACACAUGCACAUGUCUAAUCACACUUGCACACACAUGAACAUGCAUACACAUACAUAUAUACACGCACAGACAAGACAAUUAUGAUCGAAUCAUUUUAUUAGGAAACCUACUCCAAAUAAAAUCUUGUAAGAUACUCUAUAGCA
rnacentral:lncRNA from 1 species